GACGAAGGAUGCAAGCGUUAUCCGGAUUCAUUGGGUUUAAAGGGCGCGUAGGCGGCCUUGUAAGUCAGUGGUGAAAUCUCGCAGCUUAACUGCGAAACUGCCAUUGAUACUGCAGGGCUUGAGUACAGAUGCUGUGGGCGGAAUAUGACAUGUAGUGGUGAAAUACAUAGAGAUGUCAUAGAACACCGAUUGCGAAGGCAGCUCACAAAGCUGUAACUGACGCUGAGGCUCGAAAGUGUGGGGAUCAAACAGG
rnacentral:rRNA from 1 species